GUCCUUGUCGAUUAGUGGUUAAAUCAUCUCGUUGUGGUUUAGCUCCGAGAAGCCGGAAGUUCGAAUCCUCCCUGGGACA